AGGGUUAUCAACCAACUCAUAAUCGCUUGGUCGCUGGUUCAAGUCCAGCAGGGGCCA
rnacentral:tRNA from 1 species